GUCCACGCCCUAAACGAUGCAUACUUGGUGUGGGCCAUUCAUUUGGUCUGUGCCGGAGCUAACGCGUUAAGUAUGCCGCCUGGGGAGUACGGUAGCAAGGCUGAAAACUCAAAGGAAUUGACGGGGGCCCGCACAAGCGGUGGAGCAUGUGGUUCAAUUCGACGCAACGCCGAAGAACCUUACCUGGGCUAGAACGGCUUAAGAUCAUCCUCAGAAACGGGGACUUCUCGCAAGAGACUUGAGUCGAGGUGCUGCAUGGCUGUCGU
rnacentral:rRNA from 1 species